rnacentral:tmRNA from 1 species
GGGGAUGUAUUGAAUCGACGUGAGCGCUCUUUACCAUCGGCAGACCGUCGUGACCACCGACGCUAAACAGGGUCAAAACUUUAACUGCUGAUUCAAUUCUCAGCAAAGCGAAGCGCACAAUUUCCGGAUCGGUCGAUGCUUUGGCAGACGCCGUGUUCGGUAGCGCUCCCGCUCCAGCCGCGCUAAUAGCGUAAGCUGGCAUUCAAGCGUCGUUCUCGCUGAUGGCGGCCUUGGGUGAAAAUCCAGUCAGCGUGACAGUUCCCGGAGGGCGCGCCGCCGGGCACCCAAGAUCAAGGCGCGAGAGGACAAGUAGGUUCGUCCGGGUUCAACAUCUCGUCCUUAAUCUUAAAACCCAGACUAUGUCUGUAGAUGAUGGCUAAGAUGUUCCUUGCGGACAGGGGGUCGCUCCCCCUCAUCUCCACAA